AAAGCUCAAAUUUGAAAUCUGGCGCCUCCGGUGCUCGAGUUGUAAUUUGGAGAGGCAACUUUGGGAGGGGCCCGGCCCCAAGUUCCUUGGAACAGGGCGUCACAGAGGGUGAGAAUCCCGUUCGUGGCCGGAGACCCCAUCCCGCGCAAAGUGCCUUCUACGAGUCGAGUUGUUUGGGAAUGCAGCUCAAAAUGGGUGGUAAAUUUCAUCUAAAGCUAAACACUGGCGAGAGACCGAUAGCGCACAAGUAGAGUGAUCGAAAGAUGAAAAGCACUUUGAAAAUAGAGUCAAAAAGUACGUGAAAUUGUUGAAAGGGAAGCGCUUGAGACCAGACUCAGCCCUUGGCAAACAACCUUCCCUCGUGGGGGGUGCACUUGUCAUGGGCUGGGCCAGCAUCGGUUGGGACGGCGGGAUAAAGGCUCGGGGAAUGUGACUCCCUCGUGGAGUGUUAUAGCCCCGGGCGCCAUGCCGCCCGUCC
rnacentral:rRNA from 1 species